rnacentral:rRNA from 1 species
CCUACGGGAGGCAGCAGUGAGGAAUAUUGGUCAAUGGGCGAGAGCCUGAACCAGCCAAGUCGCGUGGGGGAAGACGGUCCUAUGGAUUGUAAACCUCUUUUGCCGGGGAGCAAAAAGCGGUACGUGUACCGCAUCGAGAGUACCCGGAGAAAAAGCAUCGGCUAACUCCGUGCCAGCAGCCGCGGUAAUACGGAGGAUGCGAGCGUUAUCCGGAUUUAUUGGGUUUAAAGGGUGCGCAGGCGGCGAGUUAAGUCAGCGGUAAAAUUUCGGGGCUCAACCCCGAAAAGCCGUUGAAACUGGCUGGCUAGAGGGGGCGAGAAGUAUGCGGAAUGCGUGGUGUAGCGGUGAAAUGCAUAGAUAUCACGCAGAACUCCGAUUGCGAAGGCAACAUACCGGCGCCCAACUGACGCUCAGGCACGAAAGCGUGGGUAUCGAACAGGAUUAGAUACCCUUGUAGUC